GUUUCGAUGACCGAGAAUAAUAAUAGGUGAAAGAUUUUUAAUCUUUUUACAGGGAUUAAUUCCCUUCGAGAUA
rnacentral:tRNA from 1 species